rnacentral:rRNA from 1 species
UUUAAAUAGCUGCAGUAUAUUAACUGUACAAAGGUAGCGUAGUAAUUAGUCUUUUAAUUGAGGUCUUGUAUGAAUGGUUUGACAAGAAGAAGACUUUAUUAAGUUAAUUGUAUAAAUUUUAUUUUUUAGUUAAAAAGCUAAAAUUUUUAAAUGGGACGAUAAGACCCUAUAGAUCUUUAAAUUUUUGUUAUUUAAAUCGAUUUAAGGUUAUUUAAAUUUUAUUUGAAAAAAAUUUUUUGUUGGGGUGACAGAUAAAAUUUUAAAACUUUAAUAUUUAUUUACAUAGAUCUAUGGAUAUUUGAACCCUAACUUUGGGUUAUUAAAAUUAGAUACCUUAGGGAUAACAGCGUAAUAAAUUUGAAUAGUUCUUAUAGAUAAAUUUGUUUACGACCUCGAUGUUGAAUUAAUCUAAAGUUUUGGGGCAGAAAUUAGAAUUUUAGGUCUGUUCGACCUUUAAAAGAUUACA